GGUGUAGGUUUUGUUGUUCAAAAGUUUCUUCCCUACUUAUCCUCAUCCUCGCUUUGGAGCUGUUUAUCCAACGCCGCCGCAUAGGAGACAGUGAAUUCUCAGCCGUACGUCAAUAAUCCUCUCUCGAUAGGUCAAGAUCCCAAUGCUAAAAGCGUCCAAUUGGUGUUCUUAGGAUUUCCCUGCGUCGGAAUGGGGGCUUACGGUAGUCGACUUUCUACACUCUUCGGAGGUCAGCAGAUCGCCACCGGCGACUGCAAUUUACUCCCAUUCAAGCGUAUGCGUUAGCUAUUUUUUUUAAAGGUUGAGGUGGGAUGGAAUUUUGCUCUUGUUAAGGCAAUAAAUUAGAGUCUCUGAUGCGCUUUGUCCAUGGCGUUUUCAGCGCUGUACGUUGCCGAUAAUGAAAUGGAGCUGAGAUUCUGGCAUUCCUUUCUGUUACCGGGAAUCUUAUGCAUUCAGAUGUUCCUACACUCCUUGUCUGUUUAACGCUGUACGUUGCCGAUAAUGAAUUGGAGCUGAGAUUCUAGCGUAUCUUUCUGUUUUCCAGAAAGUGUAUGCAUUCAGACGUUCCGACACGCAUAAAUUUGCCCAAGUAUUUUGAGUUCUAUUUUUUUGUCAUUCGGUUCCUUGAAGGCAAUAAAUUAGAGUCUCUGAUGCGCAUUGUCCAUGGCGUUUUCAGCGCUGUACGUUGACGAUAAUGAAUUGGAGCUGAGAUUCUGGCAUGUCUUUCUUUUUUUUUUCGGAAGGUAUAUGCAUUCAGAUGGUCCAACAUUAUAAAUCUGGUGCUGAUAUGCGUGCGUGAUUUUAUACGUUGCAUAUGAAUGAGAUAAAUAUCUUAAAUGCAGUAUUAAUUUUCACAAAUUUCUUUUCAUACAGUUUUUAUUUGUUUACUGGUGCAAAUAAGGAAGGUGAUGAUUGUUAUUUGUCGCCCCAGUCUUAGUUGCGUUCAUGGAUGCAACAUGGUGAUUGACAUGUCAUUUCUGAUUCCAUUUUGCCUAUUUUGAGUUGCAUUUGACAUAGGGUUUGUUAACUACUUCUAGUUAGGAACAUAUGCAGAUAUGCAAGGAGGUGUGAUGAUUGUUAUCCAUAUUAAUCUGUAUGUUUCAGUGAUGAUUUCAAAACAUGCACUACCAUCUGAUCUCUGUUGCAUAUCUCAUGUUUUUAGUGUUGUAUUCUGACUUCGUUGAUGCAAUCAAUGAUGCUAUUUACCCAAAACUUCUGAUGUACAUGUACUGUGAUUGUCAUUAAAAUUAUCACCAUCUUUCCACUGAGGUUGCAUCUGAACUCUGAAGCUUAUCUACAAUUUUCUGUUUCUCUGUUUUCAAUUUCUGAUGUCAUCUAUCAUUUCUCUUUCUACAAAUGUACAAGAAGUUCCCGUGCUGCAGUCUCUGGUUUUUUCUUCACUGUGGUUUUUUUGAAAUUGAUACUUGCCUGUGGUAUCUAAUGUCCAGAGUGUUUGUAUUGCUGGAUGUUUCGUUUUGAGGGCAUAAAUAUGAAGCAGAUCUUGCGACACAG